rnacentral:misc_RNA from 1 species
AGCAGCCGCGGUAAUUCCAGCUCCAAUAGCGUAUAUUAAAGUUGUUGCAGUUAAAAAGCUCGUAGUUGAAUUUCGGGAUCAAUAUGUUGGUCGUGCCUCGGUACGUACUAGCUUAUUGGUUUCUCCUUUCUGAAGAACCAUGAUGUCAUUUAUUUGGUGUCGUGGGGAAUCAGGACUGUUACUUUGAAAAAAUUAGAGUGUUUAAAGCAGGCUCACGCUUGAAUACAUUAGCAUGGAAUAAUGAAAUAGGACGUUUGAUUCUAUUUUGUUGGUUUCUAGGAUCGACGUAAUGAUUAAUAGGGAUAGUUGGGGGCAUUAGUAUUCAAUUGUCAGAGGUGAAAUUCUUGGAUUUAUUGAAGACUAACUACUGCGAAAGCAUUUGCCAAGGAUGUUUUCAUUAAUCAAGAACGAAAGUUAGGGGAUCGAAGACGAUCAGAUACCGUCGUAGUCUUAACCAUAAACUAUGCCGACUA